UAACCCUAAAAAAUAUUCUUUCUCCAUUUUUAUUCCUCUCCUCCAGCCGUGUUGUAGAGAUGCAGAGAAAGGUUUGCUCUUCAACAUCUUCAAUAUUGGUUCAAAUCCUGAACUCUAAUGGUUUCGUUGUUACCAAGAAAAGCAGGAGUAUUCCUACCCGAAACUUCUUUCUUCAUUCACAGUUUACGCCUUUCCUGAUCUCCUUCUCUCCUUUAUUUUUUUCUUUUCAGAAACCUAAUAUUCCGUAUUCUUUAUUUUCUCAUUUAAUUUGCUAAAAUUUCUGUUUUGUUAUCUUUUUUUUUGCUCGGCCAUUUCUGUUUUGUUAUCUUUUGUAUGGUUCGCAGGGAUUUACUUCAACUUUUACUUCCCGUCAUAUGGGGAUCGAGCUAAACCCCAAAACAUGAGGUGAUGGCACAAGGCAAGAUAGAUGAUCAACUACACUACCACCUCCACCUCUCUUCUCCCAUCUCUAAGACACAUGGUUUCCUCUAUAUCCUCAACCCUGAUUUUUUUUUUUUUUCUUUUUAAUUUGGUUAUUUCUUCGAUUAUGUAGGGUUAGGAUGCUCAUGAAUAAGACCUCGAUAUUCUACCAUGUAUGCUCAUGGAUCUGCUGAGAAUUUUUGGAGGCAGUUGUUCUAACAUCCAGGUUUAAUAUCAAGCAUGGUCAGGCAAAGUGGUCGUAGUAGACAAGGCGUGUUAAAUCCAUUGAACUGCAAUUCAAACAGCAGAACCACAAUCUCUUAUAGUCAACAUGAUUUUUCUAAGAGAAAAUAUACCAUUUUAUUAAAAGAAAGAUAGGGCUCAAGAGCGAGAGUAACUAACUAAAGCGAAGAAAAACACCGAAACGAUCAUCAUGAAUGGCGGUGGUCCUAAUAUGGGGUAACAUUUUCCUCUCUAUGAUUAUAUUUCUGUUGUGUUUUCUUUCUUAUGUUUAAUUAAAAAAAUAUUCAUGUUUUUUCUUUUUGAUCACCGAAAACACAAAAUCUCCAUUAAACAUAAGAUGGAAAUAGGGAAUUUCAUAGUGUAGGGGUGAGUUUUCUCUUUGACCUCUUUGUGAUUCCCUUCAUUUUGACGGUGUUUUUGUGUGCAAGAGAAUAGAUUGAAGAAUUUCAAUGGCAAUUAGGUACUCCAAUGUUCUCUGGAGAGUACCAGGACGUGAAGGGGAUUUGUAUUGGUAAUCCUCUAUUUGAUACAACUGAAAUUAAAUAUAUGUAAUUUAGGUUCAGGGAUGGAAUUGAAGUAUAUGUAAUUCACCAUUGAGUUUUGUAUAAAGGUUUUAAGACCCAUUUGAUACAAUUAGUUAGUAUUAUUAAAUGUUCACAAUACACUCCAGUCACUCCGUACUUGAUCCUGCGCGAAUGUACUCACCACUAUAUGGUUAAUUUUGUUAGGUGCUAGGCAUUUGGAAUCAAAGUUUCAAUACAAAUAGUUUUUGUUCAUGGACGAACUGAUAUAUGAGGGAUUAUGAUGUCUGAUAAGCUCCAUACAUUUUGGUUUAUACCAUUUUGAUAUGCACACUAUUUUGCUACACAUUGCUACACAAUUUGAGAUACAUAUUGGUUUUCAUUGUGCACCCUAUUUCUAACAGGUGUUAUUAUAUUUUGACUUGCUCCCAAUUUCAAUGUAGUUCUUUGUUGUUAGGACAUCAGACUAUCUUUCAACCAAGGAAGGAUCCGGUUUUUCUGGGGUUUAAGGGUGAUCUGCUAUGAUGGAGAACUUCUUAUUCUUCUAAUCAAAUAUCUCUCGAUAGGUAACCAAAAACUCCAUUAUAGAUUUAUAAUCUUUAUAUCUGUGUAUUACAUAUUUGUUGAAAAUGCAUAACUGUGCGUGUUAUAAUUGUUGAUUUGCAACCCACACAUGCAUACUUUGAGCAUGAAAAUACAAACUAUGCAUGCACACUUAGAUAGUUUUGGCUAAUGAGUAAUAAUAUUGUAGUUAAUGACAGCUUUAAAUAAUCAAUUAACCCGACGAUCAGUUAGUAUUGUUUUUGCCAUCAGUUUAUCUGAAAUCAGCGAAAUGUCGAAAUUCGUACCAAGGUAGAUACCAAGAGAUCAGCCUAAUGUAGUCAAUCGUGCUUUUAACAUUAAGUUAAAGCAGUUGUAACUGGAUCUUCGAGACAGUAGAGAUUUUGGAAGAGUAAAGGCAGGUAAGGUGUUGAAUGGAAUAAGAAGAAGGAGGUUUGUUCUUUAUCUAUGGGAGUAAUGGAACUGGAAAGACUUAUAUCGGGAAAAACCAUUAUUUCUUCGAUGCGUGCGAGAUUCGAGAUAGUUUGGCUGUUGAAACUUCAGGUAUAGCAUAUCUAUUGCUUCCCUGUGGCCAUACAACGUGUUCCAGAUUCAAGAUUUUUAUAAGGCUGGAUGAAGAGUCCAUCUGUAAUGUGGAAAAAUAAGAUGAACUUACUGGGCUGCUAAAAAAGGACGAACUUAUAUUAUAUGGGAUGAAGCUCUCAUGCAAAAUCGAUAUGUAUUUGAGGCACUGGAUAAAACUUUGAGAGAUGUGAUGACACUCUAAGGUGGUGAUACUGCUAGCACAAAACCAUUCGGUAUUCUUCAUUAUCUUAGCACUAACCAAUCAAAGUGUAAAAGAGGUGAGUUAUCAGAUGAUAGCAGUGACACCUGCGGAAGAGUAUGAAUUGUCGAGUGCAGAUUCAAUCAAUCCGCAAUCGUACAAUUUCCAAGAAGCAGUGGGGUUGAAUAUUAAGAAAUUUCUAAAUGGAUUAGAAAUAUCAGGCAUGCCAAGCACAAGAUGUCACAUUAAGUUGGUGUUUCAUAAUGGUUCUCAGAAAUAUUGAUCAUUCAUAGGGUUUGUGCAAUGGACUAGAAUAAUGUAAUGCAGGCGAUCAUAACUCUCAUUCAUUCUACAUAGGAGGCAGUUUCCGUUGAAAAUGUGUUUCCAUUUAUUUAGAUGAACCUGUUUUCUCUCAUGGCCAGUUGCAUUUGAAAUUUCGAGGACUACAAGCCGAAGAUAUCAGGGAUGUACGGAGAACACAGUUGUUUAUGAAAAGAUAUUCGGUAAUCUGAAGUGAUACCAACACCAUGUAUCGUGUAGUUCAAUUUUUUUUUUUGAAGUGUAAUUGAAUCGUGGAUUUUUAGGAUUGUCAAGAUUAAUUAUUUCUUUUUCUUUUAUUGAAGGAUAGUUUUGUUCA